UAGCCCAAGGGAAACCUGGAUUAAUACCGGAUGAGACGGGACCCGCGAUGGCGGGACCCGGGAAGGCGCUGCGGCGCCGCCGGGGGAUGGAGUCUGCGUCCCAUUAGGCUAGACGGCGGGGUAACGGCCCACCGUGGCGACGAUGGGUAGCCGGCCUGAGAGGGUGGACGGCCACAUUGGAACUGAGACACGGUCCAGACUCCUACGGGAGGCAGCAGCUAAGAAUCUUCCGCAAUGGGCGAAAGCCUGACGGAGCGACGCCCGCGUGAACGAAGAAGGCCGUGAGGUUGUAAAGUUCUUUUCGGGAGGGGGAACAACCGUGGCAGGGAAUGGCCGCGGGAUGACGUGAAUCCCGGAAUAAGCCCCGGCUAACUACGUGCCAGCAGCCGC
rnacentral:rRNA from 1 species